GGCCCAAUAGUAUCUUUACAUAAUAAAGUUGACUUGCCUCUCUCCUCCUGCGUCCACGUCAGCACAUAGGAUGUGGCGUUUUUGGACACUUGACAGCUCGGGAGUGGACCGGUGUUUUUCACGCUCUCUCUUGCUUCUUGCGCGUUGUAAUGAUUACGUAUGCGCGUAUCCAACCCUUUCGUAUUGAUUUUUCUUGCCUCUGCGAAACUUGAACGUCGUCCGUUACAAAUCAAAGGCAUCACCCACUUCUUCCAUUAAUUAAUUAUAUAUUCUCCUCUUUUAAGUUUGUAAUCGAUUUAGAGAUAGAACUGUUUUUAGAAAAAGCUAUACGAAUGGUUAAGAGAUUUGGUUUUUACGAUCCCGAAUAAUCUGAGAGGAAUUUUUAACUACGAUGACGACUAACCCGGAGACAGAGGAUUGGCUGGAGAUGGAAGUAACUUGGGUAGAGAGGACGCUGGAUGAAGUAGUAUUGGUGAUGAAGCUAGCUUGCAGCAAUGAAGUAGCGGACAGAGAUGAUUGCGGUCGCACGUGUGUUGUUGAUCAUAACAUGAGAGGUAGGUAUUUCCGUGAGUGGGUGAUUGAAUGAUUAUGAUGAUAGGUUAUUUUAUUUGAAGUAAAUUGUCGAGAGUAAUACUGAACAGCUUUUGCAAUGUCUCCACCUGCUAAAAAAGUUCUUCAAAAGCAGAGGAAAAAAGAUCUAAUGCUCAGUAAGGUUCAAGUGUUUGAGAGCUGGUUAUUGACUCCAAUUUUUUUUUUUUUUUUACAAUUAUUAUGCUUGCUAUCUUUGAAUCUUCAUUAUCGUCCUCAGUGUUCUAUUCCUCAAAUUUUGACCAGCUGUGGAUUUUAUUGACAUAGACUGAAGUCUUGAGAAGUUGUUCCCAUUGUAAAAAGGGAUGAUUUUUUAAUAAUAUGUAAGAUUCCAUUGUUACCUGCAAACAAGGACAUGGAAAAGGAUAUGUCAACUUUAAGUCAAUACAGAUGAUGAUCCAAUGGAUUUUGGGUUUGGCUCACCAGCAAAUAAAGAUAAGAAGAAGAAUUCGUUCAAGCUGUGAGUGUAACAUACAUCACAUGCUUCUUAGACCAUGUAUACGCCUAAUCUCAUGCGGUUCAAUCAUGGAUUUUUUUCUCCUUCAUUAUGCUUCUUAGAUUACUUCUCUAAGAUACAGUUGCUUGACAAAAAGGCCUAAUGUCUCAUAUCAAACAUUUGACUAACCACCCCUAAUCAAUCAGGUUUCAUCUAUUUCUCUCCCUCUCUCUAUUAUGUAUCUUCCCUCACUAUUUCUAACCAGUUUUAUGAUACCUUCAUUGGAGCUGACUGGUAGAUGUGUAAUUGCGGAGUUGCAGGAAGUGGGUAAAGUUUAUUCUGCUCAGAUGCUUAGUACACUCACAAGAGCUUCCCAUCCUGUUCUCGCUACAUUACCUUGCUAUAAAAUUGAUAUGGUAAGAGCUUAAUGAUGUAUAGAAUGUGAUUAUUAUUUUUUAAGUUGAAGACAUGGUUUAUGUAUGGUGUGUUUAUGAAAUUCAUAUGUAUAACAGAGAUGAUGAGCUUUCUGUAUUGAAUUUGGGAAAGUGGGGGUCAUCUUUUGAUAUCCCAGAACUGGAUGUUGUAAAUUGUAUAUCGAAUUAAUUUGCUUUAAUUUGAGUUGUUAGAUGUGACCACGAGGAGGCAAAUUCAGCAGACAAGUGUUUGUCAGGGUAUUUGGAACCAAAAGUUACAUGCAUUUCUUUCACGAUUCUCAGGACAGUGACUUGAAAAUGCUUUAGAAGGUUAGUUUGAUGAGCUUUUAUUUAUUUAUUCGGAGGAUAUGAUAUAGAUAUAUUCGGUGAGGGUUUGAGGAGUCUAAAUUUCUGAGUUUCGUAUGAAUGUGAAAAAUAUAAUCGAGCUUUGAUUUUAAUGAGACUGUGGAGUUUAUAUACUAUUAGUGUUGGUUAUUGUUGUGGAGUUUCUAAUAUAUCACUUCUUUUGUGACUUGAAACUUGAUACCCCAGAAAACAGAGGUGUUCUUUCUUCUUCUUGAAGGUAAAAACAUAAUCCAAACUGAAGAGAAGUAUCAGAAGAGCAAGGGUUGCAAGAUAAUCCAUUCUUUCGCUUCUAUUAAGAGAAACCAUGUCGUCUGAAAAUGACAAAACAUCUACCAAAGCCUCUUUAGUUUGCUCUGACUCUCCAUCGACAAUAUAUGAACUCAUGUUGUCUCUCAGUUCUGACUCAUGUCUAACUCCCCCACCACAAAUUCUUACACAACAAUAGACAAGAAUAGCUCAAACUUUAUCUGAUCACCGGACAUACAGGUUUGAUUAAUGGACUACGCCCUACAUACUACGGCUUCACAUCACGAGGUUAAAACUUACCUACCAUUCUUCUGAUAUUUUUGCAGUAAUUCCCCAUGAAAGAACAUAUGCAAUUUAUGUUUUGGUCAAUAUUUCAGGCUCUACAAUAGUUCCAAGUUUAUGAAGACAACUUCAAACUCCCCAUUGAGAUCUCAAAAAUAUUCAUGCACUCCAAACAGAGGUGAUUUUAAUCCCUCCCUAAAUUAUUUACCCUAAAUUAUUUACACUCUAUUAUAUAGAGACAAGUUUGUUCUACUGUAUAGUAUAGCAUGGUGAUAUAUUCAUAUUUUCAUUCAUACCAUGUAUUCAACUGAUAGUGAGAACUAAGUGAAUAUACAAUUUAUACAAACGUCAUCCCCAGUCCAGUACCAACCAACGAUUCUGAUUCUCCACAAAUACUCACCGACAUCUUCCAAAACAGGUGAAAGUCUGAAAAUUUCUUUGAAAAUAUUAACUCAUUUGCCAUUAGUAAGGAAUAUUGUUCCCUAUUUAGUACCAAACAAACACAUUUAAGCUUCACUUGCUUGGAACCAGUAAGUUUCUUUGUUUUUUUUGUUGUUUUUUUGCUUGGAAUAUUGCUAACUAUAAAGAGCUAGAUAUAAAGAAGAAGAUCUUAAUCAGCAUCAAAUUUUGGGUACUAAUUCUAUCUGCAAAGCUCAUGUUAUUUUUUUUAUAUAAUGUAUUCCAUGUUCUUGAGAUUGCACUUUCUUUGGAACAGGCGAUCCAAUGGGCGAAAGGUAUGAGAGAAUAGAGAUAUCACAUCUUUGAUCACGGCCGCAGAGAAAGACAUGAGCAAGAAGCUCCAAGAGAAAGAUCAGGAGAUGAUGACCAGUGGUUAUAAGAACAAUUCAUAGGAGGCUAUAGGCAUCCAUUAGUUUGGUGUAUGCUGUAGGAGGCUGAUUUAUAUAGCAUGAUCCAUGAAUAACGACUUGCACAGUAUCUGAAACAAUGAUUGUAAAUUUUAGAAACUUAGAAUCUAUACUAUAUUAAAAGGGAUAUAUGAGCUCCAUUGAGCCUAUCCACGUCAGAUUAAAAAAUCAACCAAUGAACAACUUGCUUUUUGCCACGUCACACCGUCUUGGCCAGUGUUUGGGCUGGUUUUUUUUUGAUCCGUGAACUGAACUAUUUGUCCCAAAAGCCCAGACCAAGAGAAACCCUAGAACCUGAGACUGAGUCGAUGAUUUCCUCUCACAUCUCCACUAUUGAGCGGAUCCUCUAUCUCCUAGAUCCAUCGUUUCCUCUUCUUCAAUAGAUCAUCGAUCUCCUAGCUAUUCACGAGGAGAAAAGGUUUCUACAAGCAUACAACAAAGAAAGGUAUCUCUAAGUCAAAGCCUUCUUCCCGGAAAGCCCCUCCGAAACACGCAGCCACCCAAGUUUCUGAUGCUAUGCAGCAGGAGAUGUUGAUUUCGCAUGGCUUCUUCGAUGUCAACAAUGGCUAAAGGUUUUCACUAC